UGCAGCGUGGGUUGUGUUGGUUUAGAAGCGUGGGUAAACUCUUUGUACUCGUUGUCGUGUUGGGAUUUUAGGUGCUUGAUUAAAUUACUUGUGUUAAAUGCGCUACCUUUUGAGCCUCCUCUGGACAAUUUCGCUGAGCACAAUUUGCAGUCCGCCUUUGUUUUGUCGUCUUCAUUCACUUUGAAAUAGUUCCACACGGCUGACAUGUCUCGCCUCACCUUGCCUUCUCCCCGCUCUGAGCUGCAGCCGGGGCCUGGGGGCGGGCACUCGGCGUCUGUGAUUAACCCCUUACUCGCCGCUCAAACAUAGACAUUUCUCAGACCGUGGUAUCGGUCCCCGGUAUUGGGGGACUUUUAACGAGUACGAGUACUUUAGAAAAUGUGGUAUCGAGGCCGAUACCAGAUACCCAUUUCGGUAUCGGUGCAUCCCUAAUCAAAACAUUGUCAGGCAGCCUAAUAUGCUGGAAACUGAAGCAGGUUAGUUCAGCCCACCGUCCCUCCACCAGAGUGCCCUCAGUUUGCGACUGCUACCUCCAUCAAAACUGUCCACCCAGAUGCCAGAAGACAGUAAUUCACAUUAUUUCAUUCCAGCUAUAAAGAAAAUACACACCGUCUAACACGUGUACUUUGUGUGGUGCCCACUUAACAAAUAAAAGCACUGAUCAGAAAGCUGUAUACUUUAUGGAGACAACAAAUUGUUUUUGAGUUGUUUGAAAUUAAACACACACAAACAAACAUAAGAGUGCUUGCUACAUAUCUUGAGCACAAAUACUGCAGACCCUAGCCGAUUGUUUUGGACCCCUUUUGAAUGGUUUGGCUGCUGCACGGCUCCAGUAGCGCGUGGAUGUUAAUAGCGGGCUAUUCAAAAACGGAGGCAAAAAAGUCUCUUCAGAACUUGAACUGAAAUGUGACGUACUGGGACAUCAAUUCUGUGUCACAUUAAGGAAAAAUCAAUAUUCUGAUUUAGUCAAAUGGACUUAAAACAUUUAACAUUGAAAGAUCUACUCAGCUGGCAAUGCCUUAAUUCAGUUAACAUAAAAAAAAAACGUAAGAUUUUAAACAUAGUUGGCAUUCUAGCCAUUGUUUAUAGGAUGCCCAUUCCGACUGCAGGCAGUGUGACAUUAAAAUGAUAAGGCCACCGAUUCAUUUUCCACCUCUGGCAGGUUACCUCUCGCUUCCUUACCUUAUAAGUUGUCUGGGAUGAACGUGUCGACCACUUUAUUCAAGUCAUUCUGAUAAUGGCAAACAAAUUUCAAUCUGAUAUUUAGGACAAACGGAGUCCAAAUUCAAGGAGUUUACUGAAUUGUGCCUCGUCACAUUAGUCACUUUAUCAUUUCGAUAUCUUUAGGAUACAUUAUUAGCUGCCGUGAUCUAAUCACUAACUCACUGAGUUUUAUAAAUUUCCAGUUCUUUCACCACAAACCCCCGUGAAGCCUGCAGCCUGGUUAAUCUUUUUUCAAAGCAGGUUAUGAUCCAGUCAAGAAACAUUUCUCAACAAUCGCUACUAGAAAAAUGUUCCCAGUUCACAUAAAGAAUAUCAUUAAGUGGUAACCUCUCUACAGAGACGUUAAAAAAAAUCUGAAUUAACAGAAAGGAAUUCUGCCAGUUCUUUCUACCAAAUAAUAGUUUAAAAUAAACCGUGAAGAAAAACCACUUAAUUAUUAUUUGCAGUAUUAAUUUGUACGGCUGGGAUUGCAGAUAUGCAGUGAGAGAAUUCUUUUUUUGAAAUGUUCUCUCCAUAAUAAAACAUUCAAAGAUGCAGAGAGGGGGUCUGCCGGGUCCUGUCCAGCACUUUGCCAUGCAGUGGUCUCUCAGUCUUCUCCUCCACAGGUUAGUUAGCCUGCCACAAGGGAACUGGGAAUGUUAGAAAACAUUUCUUAGUUGGCUUUCUUUAUUUAUAACUUAAACUUGUGUGUAACUGUGUACCUUUUUGUCGGCUUUGUAGUUUUACAUGGCUAUGUAAGGUUUCUGACACCAAUCAGUAUUGUAGCAAACUAAAUAAAGCUCACCAAAAUGAUACAAACAA